GCCUCCUUGGCUCAGUUGGUUAGAGCGCCAGUCUCAUAAUAUCAAGCUAUGAUCUCAGUUUGAGGUCAUGGUUUUCGGAAUUACUGAGCAGGAA